rnacentral:miRNA from 1 species
CUGGGACUGUGCGGUUGGGAC